rnacentral:rRNA from 1 species
GAUGAACGCUGGCAGCAUGCUUAACACAUGCAAGUCUACUUGAACUUCGGUUUGGGUGGCGGACGGGUGAGUAACGCGUAAGGAACUUACCUCACAGUUAGGGACAACAUUUGGAAACGAAUGCUAAUACCUGAUAUUAUGAUUUUAGGGCAUCCUAAGAUUAUGAAAGCUAUAUGCGCUGUGAGAGAGCUUUGCGUCCCAUUAGCUAGUUGGAGAGGUAACGGCUCACCAAGGCGAUGAUGGGUAGCCGGCCUGAGAGGGUGAACGGCCACAAGGGGACUGAGACACGGCCCUUACUCCUACGGGAGGCAGCAGUGGGGAAUAUAGGACAAUGGACCAAAAGUCUGAGCCAGCUAUUCUGUGUGCACGAUGACGUUUUUCGGAAUGUAAAGGGCUUUCAGUUGGUAAGAAAAAAAUGACGGUACCAACAGAAGAAGUGACGGCUAAAUACGUG